rnacentral:lncRNA from 1 species
CGCAUUUAAUGUCAGUAAUUAUGAGAAUUCAAGUGGGACGCGUUUGGAUGACCUUUGGAUAUCUUAUCAGAUUGGGCCUGACUGUUGGGUUUCUAUUUUAUUGGCCCAUCCUGUUCAAAUUCAAAUCUUUUAUCAGAUUGGGCUUAUUGCUCUGGGUAUCCACUAUCUAGCCAUCCCUUAUUCCACUUCGUAUGUUAAAAGUGGGUAUGAUUCACUU